rnacentral:rRNA from 1 species
GACGAACGCUGGCGGCGUGCCUAAUACAUGCAAGUAGAACGCACAGUUUAUACCGUAGCUUGCUACACCAUAGACUGUGAGUUGCGAACGGGUGAGUAACGCGUAGGUAACCUGCCUGGUAGCGGGGGAUAACUAUUGGAAACGAUAGCUAAUACCGCAUAAUAUUAAUUAUUGCAUGAUAAUUAAUUGAAAGGUGCAAUUGCACCACUACCAGAUGGACCUGCGUUGUAUUAACUAGUAGGUGAGGUAACGGCUCACCUAGGCGACGAUACAUAGCCGACCUGAGAGGGUGAUCGGCCACACUGGGACUGAGACACGGCCCAGACUCCUACGGGAGGCAGCAGUAGGGAAUCUUCGGCAAUGGACGAAAGUCUGACCGAGCAACGCCGCGUGAGUGAAGAAGGUUGUCGGAUCGUAAAGCUCUGUUGUAAGAGAAGAACGGGUGUGAGAGUGGAAAGUUCACACUGUGACGGUAUCUUACCAGAAAGGGACGGCUAACUACGUG